rnacentral:rRNA from 1 species
GAUGAACGCUGGCGGCGUGCCUAAUACAUGCAAGUCGAGCGAACAGACGAGGAGCUUGCUCCUCUGACGUUAGCGGCGGACGGGUGAGUAACACGUGGAUAACCUACCUAUAAGACUGGGAUAACUUCGGGAAACCGGAGCUAAUACCGGAUAAUAUAUUGAACCGCAUGGUUCAAUAGUGAAAGACGGCUUUGCUGUUACUUAUAGAUGGAUCCGCGCCGCAUUAGCUAGUUGGUAAGGUAACGGCUUACCAAGGCAACGAUGCGUAGCCGACCUGAGAGGGUGAUCGGCCACACUGGAACUGAGACACGGUCCAGACUCCUACGGGAGGCAGCAGUAGGGAAUCUUCCGCAAUGGGCGAAAGCCUGACGGAGCAACGCCGCGUGAGUGAUGAAGGUCUUCGGAUCGUAAAACUCUGUUAUUAGGGAAGAACAAAUGUGUAAGUAACUAUGCACGUCUUGACGGUACCUAAUCAGAAAGCCACGGCUAACUACGUG